rnacentral:rRNA from 1 species
UAAGACGAACCGUACGAACGUUAUUCGGAAUCACUGGGCUUAAAGGGUGCGUAGGCGGCGCGGAAAGUAGGGUGUGAAAUCCCUCGGCUCAACCGAGGAACUGCGCUCUAAACUACCGUGCUCGAGGGAGAUAGAGGUGAGCGGAACUUAGGGUGGAGCGGUGAAAUGCGUUGAUAUCCUAAGGAACACCGGUGGCGAAAGCGGCUCACUGGAUCUCUUCUGACGCUGAGGCACGAAAGCUAGGGUAGCGAACGGGAUUAGAUACCCCGGUAGUCCUAGCUGUAAACGAUGAGCACUGGGUCGGAGAACCCUCCACAGUUUUCCGGCCGUAGCGAAAGUGUUAAGUGCUCCGCCUGGGGAGUAUGGUCGCAAGGCUG